UACGUAGGCAGCAAGCGUUGUUCGGAGUUACUGGGCGUAAAGGGUGUGUAGGCGGUUCCCUAAGUUUGGUGUGAAAUCUCCCGGCUCAACUGGGAGGGUGCGCCGAAAACUGGGGGGCUAGAGUACUGGAUGGGAGAGUGGAAUUCCUGGUGUAGCGGUGAAAUGCGUAGAUAUCAGGAGGAACACCUGUGGUGUAGACGGCUCUCUGGACAGUAACUGACGCUGAGAUACGAAAGCGUGGGUAGCAAACAGG
rnacentral:rRNA from 1 species